rnacentral:rRNA from 1 species
CCCUUCCAGAGGGGGACAACAGUUGGAAACGACUGCUAAUACCGCAUACGAUCUAAUCUCGGCAUCGAGGAUGGAUGAAAGGUGGCCUCUAUUUAUAAGCUAUCACUGAGGGAGGGGAUUGCGUCUGAUUAGCUAGUUGGAGGGGUAACGGCCCACCAAGGCGAUGAUCAGUAGCCGGUCUGAGAGGAUGAACGGCCACAUUGGGACUGAGACACGGCCCAG